rnacentral:lncRNA from 1 species
AUCAUCAUUCAGCUUACUUUCUCUAGGAACGCAUUAAAAUUCAGGGUUGCUAUUGCGUGAGCCAGUGAUCUACAACAUAAAUUUUUGCAAAGAUUACUUAGACCAUGUUCAAGAUAAUUGAUUUUUGUUAAUCAUAUUACUAGUAAACUCCCAAUCAAAUUGACAUCCCUCUAGUCAUUCGAGUGUCAUAUGAUCCAAAUUCACUAACUCAAGU